rnacentral:rRNA from 1 species
AGGGCAUUGCCCUAGUAACGGCGAGUGAAGCGGCAACAGCUCAAAUUUGAAAUCUGGCCUUCGGGUCCGAGUUGUAAUUUGUAGAGGAUGCUUUUGGCGCGGUGCCUUCCGAGUUCCCUGGAAUGGGACGCCUUAGAGGGUGAGAGCCCCGUAUGGUUGGACACCAAGCCUCUGUAAAGCUCCUUCGACGAGUCGAGUAGUUUGGGAAUGCUGCUCUAAAUGGGAGGUAAAUUUCUUCUAAAGCUAAAUAUUGGCCAGAGACCGAUAGCGCACAAGUAGAGUGAUCGAAAGAUGAAAAGCACUUUGAAAAGAGGGUUAAAUAGCACGUGAAAUUGUUGAAAGGGAAGCGUUUGCGACCAGACCUUUUCGUAGCGGAUCAUCCGGUGUUCUCACCGGUGCACUUCGCUUCGUUUAGGCCAGCAUCGGUUUCUGUAGGGGGAUAAAAGCUUGGGGAACGUAGCUCCCUCGGGAGUGUUAUAGCCCCUCGCAUAAUACCCUUACGGGGACCGAGGACCGCGCUUUAUGCAAGGAUGCUGGCGUAAUGGUCGUCAACGACCCGUCUUGAAACACGGACCAAGGAGUCGAACAUUUAUGCGAGUGUUUGGGUGUUAAACCCUCACGCGUAAUGAAAGUGAACGGAGGUGAGAGCCCUUACGGGUGCAUCAUCGACCGAUCCUGAUGUCUUCGGAUGGAUUUGAGUAAGAGCAUAACUGUUCGGACCCGAAAGAUGGUGAACUAUGCGUGGAUAGGGUGAAGCCAGAGGAAACUCUGGUGGAGGCUCGCAGCGGUUCUGACGUGCAAAUCGAUCGUCAAAUCUGCGCAUGGGGGCGAAAGACUUAUCGAACCAUCUAGU